GUCCUACUUCCCUCUUGCAGCCAAGCAGCUGUGAGGAGAGAAGAGGAGGAAGCGCCAGGGAGCCCAGAGCCACCAGACAGUGACGCCACAGAGCCACAGCCAUCACACCCGCACAGACACACACCGUCCUCUGCCGUUCAGGCCCGAGAGUCCCGUGAGGACUGGUGUCCCUACUACCGGCCUCCACGCUGUGAGCGCUUCCGCCGCCACCCCUCCUGGUUCACGUCGGGCUCCGAAUUGACUCGCUUCACAGGAUUCCCGCAUCCUGUGCUAACACAUCCACAAACGAGCUCCACUCACCUUGCGAAGAGGGAGAACCGCGCGAAAACGGAAUGGAAGCCAAAGAGCUGGCGUGACCGCUGCCGUCUGGGAAGUGUCGCUCCAACCUGAACAUCUCUGGGCGCGGCGGCUCGUCCGAAAGGCCACCGAAGCGCGGAAGUCCCGGUGGAACGACAACGCGAGAACCGCCCGGAGCCCAGCCCGAGCGCAGGUCUCUCAGCCAGGAGCGCGACGCGAGGGCGCGUGCGCGGGCACGGAGCCUGAGCGGAGGCCGCUGGUGCGCGUGCUCGGUCCAGAGGCGCCGCUGCGCCCAGGAGGCCGAGCAGGGCGGCCCGGCGCCGGCUCCGAGCGUCCGGCCUGUGCGCGCAGAGCCGCGCGGGAGGUCGGCGGGGCGGCCCCGGGGCGAGAGCGCACGGCGGGUGUGAGCUCUGAGGGCGGGGCCCCGGACGAGUCCCCUCAGGCGGCUGCAGCCUGGCGACAGCAUACGGGGCAAGCAACUCCUGAUCCCGCGGGGGAUGAGCCGGUUUAUUCAGUGUCUGUUAGCUGCGUUUAAAGGGUGUGCAGGAGUGAAGUAAUACAUAUUUACUUAAUUCUUUAGGCUAAGCUGUAAUAGUCAAAAUGGAAUGAAUAAUUAUUUGUAGAAGUUCUGUGGUGAAAAUUAUGUAGAUAUUUUGUAAUAUUGAUUCAGGGACAGAUUUUCCAAGCAUGCCCAAAGAGAGGGAUGUUAUUAAAAUUUUAAGAGUUGACUGGAUAAUUAGUUGUAAUCAUCCUAAUCACUUGAAUGCAAAUCAAUUAAUAAAAGUUAAUCCUAGACAAAGA